UAUGGCCACAUCCUGUUGAAACAACGGUUCCCAUAUGAUCACCAAAGUUAAGCAACAUUGAGCUUGGUUAGUACCUAAAUGGGAGACCACUUGGGAAUACCAGAUGCUGUAAG